rnacentral:rRNA from 1 species
GACGAACGCUGGCGGCGUGCUUAACACAUGCAAGUCGAGCGGUAAGGCCCUUUCGGGGGUACACGAGCGGCGAACGGGUGAGUAACACGUGGGUGACCUGCCCUCAGCUCUGGGAUAAGCCUGGGAAACCGGGUCUAAUACUGGAUAUGACUCCAUGACGCAUGUUGUGGGGUGGAAAGCCUUGUGCGGCUGAGGAUGGGCCCGCGGCCUAUCAGCUUGUUGGUGGGGUGANGGCCUACCAAGGCGACGACGGGUAGCCGGCCUGAGAGGGCGACCGGCCACACUGGGACUGAGACACGGCCCAGACUCCUACGGGAGGCAGCAGUGGGGAAUCUUGCGCAAUGGGCGAAAGCCUGACGCAGCGACGCCGCGUGAGGGAUGACGGCCUCGGUUGUAACC